rnacentral:lncRNA from 1 species
AAGGUUUCAUUCCAAAGCUUCAAAGUCCUCGCCUAAACUUCGAUUACAACGAAGUAGCUAGGAUUCGAGGAGCCGAUAUGAAGGUAAAUCUCUUUUCCUUACUCUUUUUUUUAACGAAUAUCGAUCAUGAAGAAAGCAAAAAAGAAAAAUGAAUGAAACGCUAGACUUAAAUCAAUCACCUUUUCGAUUUGUGAUUUCUACUUUUUCUAUUGAUCUCUUUGUUGUAUGUGUGUAACCUUACAGAUAAUUCCUUUUUGGGCUUUAUAGCUGAAGGAAAAAAUGAUAAAAAUAAAUAAAAAAUACAAUAUUUUCUUUUUGUUUUGCUGUGCGUUCAUCCCUUUUUGCAGGUACAGGGUGUGCGUGGUGCAUGUACGGGGGGUGUUUGCUGGCGUACGGAUGUGUGGGCGUGGCUGCUGAAGCGCUGGAGCGUACAGAGGUAUGGUGGCCUGGCUGCGGCGUGAGGGGGAGAAACCCUAGGUUUCUGGUGUUUUAAUUUUUUGGGCCUAUCGGGCUUGUAUUUUUGGGUCUAGGUUUUAGAUUUUGAAUUUGGGUUAGGGUUGGUUGUUGGGCUUAUUUGGGUCUUGGAUUAUGUAAUUGGAUAUUUAAUGGACUAUUUAAAAAUUGGAUUUUUGUUUAUUUAUUAUUUUGGCUUUGAUGUGGACCCAGGCAAAUUGGCCCGUUUACAGCUGCCCCUCUUUGCUCAUUGUCGUGUAACGAGAAUAGAGCAAAAACUUCAAAGAGGGCCAAUUUUGCCCGGUCUCGCAGAAUCAUGACUUCUUUGGUGUACUUUUUCUUCGAGGUAGCCUUGUUCCGAUCCUCUGCAACUUCAGGGAUAUAGGAAUUGCUGCUCUAAUCCACUCUGCUGUAACUCUAGAGAGACUAGCCUUGUAGCUUUUAAUCUGCUCUACCGCAAUUGCCCCACUGCAACCUCAAGGAGAUAUGGUUCAUGUAUUUUUAUCCUGCUCUAUUGCAACUUCAGAGAGAUAAGGAUUGUGACUUCGAUCUGCUCCACUGCAACAUCAGGGAGAUAAGAUUUGUAAUUUUUAGCUUGUUACCCUACUACUUAAGGGUUAAGGCUCACUGUCUUCGAUUUGCUCCACUACUGCUUAGGGAGACAAGAUCUACAAUCUUCGGCCUGUUACCCUACUACUUAGGGGGUUAAGGCUCAUUGUCUUUGAUUUGCUCCACUACUGCUUAGGGGGAUAAGAUUUACAAUCUUCGGCCUGUUACCCUACUACUUAGGGGGUUAAGGCUCACUGUCUUCGAUCCGCUCCACUACUGCUUAGGGAGAUAAGAUCUGUGAAUUCACCGUGUUGCUCCACCGUCCUCUAGGGACAUGAUCUGUAGAACCGGUUUCAUGCACCCAUGCUUAUGCCAAAUAAUUAGGAUGCCAUGAUCAAAAUGAGUCAAAUGCUCCUACUAGAUGAAUGAUUAUGAAUGUAGAAAUGUCGUGAGAAUGUUUCCUUUUUUAAAUGCUUAAGGUGUCAUUACUCAUAGUUCAUCAGGGUUCUAUCAUUGAUGCCAUCAUGUCUUCUUGUUUAGCCGGUAUUUUUGACAGAAAAUUUGAAGAAAUAGUCACAAUUUGGACUAUUCUUUUUCCAAUGUUUCCAACUUUUGAAUCUGGUUAGUCCUGACUAGUGGCCCUGUUUCAGGUCCUUGUACUAUUUAGAGACCUUCCAGAGUAAUAUGCAUAGCUUCUUUUGUGUGAUAUUAUAAGUCCAAAAAUCAUGAUUUCAACAAAAAUGCUCGAAAAAGACUAUCAUAAAGGACAAGAUGAAAUUUUAUUGAGAAAAACUCAAAGUGAAUAAAUUAACAGGAUAGCAAAUAUGCUAAUGUGCAAAACAAGAUUAGAAAAAAGUGCCCCAGAUAUCGCAGCACGAGCUUCACUAUUCCAACUUCUCCAAGGCCAUUUCGAGCUAAAUAUAUGUUAAGGAGAUACCGUGUAUUUUGUUGAUGCUCCAAGAUGUACUGUUCUUUCCUCUUGUUAAUUUUGGGAGGACAAGACUACCGCAUGCCCCAUGUUUAAAAUUUGAGCUGCCCUUUUUUGGGUUUUCAACUCAAAAACCUCUUUGGUCUCAAAGUGCCCUUUACGGGUUUUCACUUUGACCUCUCUAUUUUUUUUAGGGUCUCAAAGUGCCCUAUAUGGGUUUUCACCUUGGUCUCUCUAUUUUAUUUUAUUUUUUAGGGUCUCAAAGCGCCCUUUACGGGUUUUCACCUUGGCCUUUCUUUUUUAGGUAAAAUACUUCUUGACGGAAUCCGAAUUCACAGGAUUGGGCAAGUUUUUACCAUCCAUCUCAGUUAGAAUCAAUGCUCCCCCAGAAAAAGCUUUCUUUACUACAUAAGGUCCUUCCCAGUUUGGCAUCCAUUUUCCUCUGAAAUCAUUUUGUAUAGGAAGGAUCUUUUUCAAAACCAGGUCCCCCUCAUGGAAUUCCCUAGGGUGAACCUUUUUAUCAUAGGCUCGCAUCAUUCAUUUUUGGUACAUCUGACCAUGACGGAUAGCUCUUAGCCUCUUUUCUUCAAUCAAGUUUAAUUGAUCGUAUCGAGAUUGGAUCCACUCUACUUCAUCUAACUUUAGCUCCGAUAACACUCGAAGGGACGGGAUCUCGACUUUGAUUGGAAAAACCGCUUCCAUUUCGUAGGCCAAAGAGAAAGGCGUUGCCCUAGUUGAGGUUCUGACUGAUGUUUGAUAACCAAAGAGGGAAAAUGGUAACUUCUCAUGCCAAUCUUUGUAGGUCACAGUUAUCUUCCCCACAAUCUUCUUAAUGUUUUUAUUGGCCACUUCCACUUCCCCAUUCAUUUUUGGGCAAUAUGGUGGCGAGUUGUGGUGUUUGAUCUUGAAUUGACUGCAGACUUCCACUAUCGUACUAUUGUUAAAGUUUAAUGCAUUGUCAGAUAUGAUCCUCUCCGGCAUUCCAUAUCGACAUAUGAUCUUUUUUUUCAGGAAUUUGCUCACUGCUGACUUUGUAACAUUGGCAUAUGAAGUGGUUUCUACCCAUUUGGUGAAGUAGUCGAUAACCACAAAGAUAAAAUGAUGCCCAUUGGAAGCUUUUGGGGAUAUUGGUCCAAUCACAUCCAUACCCCAUAUAGAGAAAGGCCAUGGGGAAGUCAUGACAUGCAGCGGUAAAGGAGGCACGUGAAUUUUGUGUCCAUAGAUUUGGCAUUUAUGACAUCUCUUGGUGUAAUUGACACAGUCUCCUUCCAUAGUGGACCAAUAAUACCCGAAUCUCAUAAUUUUCCUGGCCAUUGUAAAGCCAUUAGCGUGUGUCCCACAGAUGCCCUCAUGGACUUCUUCCAAGAUUUUCUUAGCCUCUACAGCGUCUACGCAUCUUAAUAGCACUUGAUCCUUUCUUCUUUUGUAUAGGAUCUCCCCAUCUAAGACAUAGUCGAUGGCCAAUCUUCUCAGCGUCCUUUUGUCAUUCUCACUUGCCUGGUCCGAGUAUUCACGAUUCCUCAUAUAUUGUAAUAUGUUGUGAUAUCAAGGGUGAUCAUCUUUUUCUUCAUCUUCUUCAAUAUUAUAACAGUGAGCUGGAGUUUCAUAAAUGCUCAUCUGGAUGGGUUUGACAUCUUCUUGUUUGUUCACCUUGAUCAUGGAAGUUAAGGUGGCCAAAGCAUCGGCCAUCUGAUUUUCAUCCCGUGGAAGGUAGUAGAAGGUAAUGUCAUCGAACUCUUUAACCAAUUCAAGGACCAGUUUUCGAUAAUCGAUCAACUUGGGAUCUCUAGUCUCCCAUUCUCCCUUGAGUUGAUAAAUCACUAGCGCAGAAUCUCCAUACACCUCUAGCACUUUAAUUCUGCGUUCUAUGGCUGCACGGAUACCUAUGAUACACACCUCGUAUUCUGCCAUAUUAUUCGUACAAUCAAAAUACAAUUUACUAGUAAAUGGAUAAUGAUCUUCGUUUGGAGAUACCAAGACUGCCCCGAUUCCAUUACCCACAGCAUUUGACGCCCCAUCAAAGUUUAGCUUCCAGGGAAGUUCUUCCAGAGCACCUUCUUCAGUGGUUGCAACACACAUCAGGUCUUCAUUCAGGAAAUCGAAGUUCAAGGGCUCGUAAUCUUCCAAAGCUCUACUAGCUAGAAAGUCUGCUAUUGCACUCCCUUUUACUGUUUUCUGGUUCACAUAUACUAUAUCGAAUUCAGAGAGCAGAAUUUGCCAUCGGUCCAUCCUCCAUUCAAAAUUGUUGACUCCAUCAUGUACUUUAAAGGGUCCAGUUUUGAAAUGAGCCAAGUAGUGUGAUAGAACAUAUACUGCCUCAACCUUCGGGUUGUCUAAACCAGGGCACAACACAACUUUUCUAUCGGCGGAUAUCUUAUCUCACAUUCAGUGAACUUUUUACUAAGAUAGUAAAUAACUUUUUCUUUCCUUCUUGACUCAUCAUGCUGACCAAGUACGCAUCCCAUAGAAUUCUCAAAUACUUCCAAAUACAGUAUCAAUGGCUUAUCGGGGUUAGGUGGCAUUAGCACCAGAGCGUUGGAUAAGUAUUGUUUGACCUUUUCGAAAGCCCUUUGGCAUUUUUCAUCCCAUACACCUGGGUUGUGUUUCUUGAGGAGGCAAAAAAUAAGGUCACAUUUCUCGAUUAGUUGUGAAAUGAACCGAGCGAUGUAAUUUAAUCUUCUUAGAAAGCCUCAAACCUCUUUUUGCGUACGCGGUGGAGAUAUUUCUUUUAUGGCUUUGACUUUGUCUGGAUCGAUCUCAAUCCCUUUCUCACUAACCACGAAUUUGAGAAGCUUUCCAAACUUGGCUCCAAAGGUACAUUUGGCUGGAUUGAGUUUUAGCUGAAACUUCCUCAACCUUAAGAACAACUUUCUCAGGACUUGUAUGUGAUCCUUCUCUGUUCAGGACUUUGCGAUCAUAUCAUCGAGAUAAACUUCAAUUUUUUUGUGUAUCAUGUCGUGAAACAGGGUUACCAUGGCCCUUUGAUAUGUUGCCCCCGUAUUUUUCAGUCCAAACGGCAUCACCUUGUAGCAGAACAUGCCCUACAUGGUUACAAAUGUGGUCUUCUCCAUGUCUUGAGGAUGUAUAUUGAUCUGGUUAUAUCUGGAAAAACCGUCCAUGAAGGAAAACAGGGAGUGUCCUACCAUGUUGUCCACUAAGGUGUCGAUAUAAGGUGGUGGGAAAUUAUCUUUCGGGCUAACUUUAUUCAAAUCUCUGUAGUCUACAUACAUUCAUACUUUUCCAUCCUUCUUAGGGACGAGGACGAUGUUGGCUACCCAUUCUAGGUAUUUUACCACCUUUAAAAAUCCAGCGUCAAACUGCUUUUUAACCUCUUCUUUUAUUUUUAGCAAGACGUCAGGCCUCAUUCUUUAGAGUUUUUGCUGAACUGACUUACAUUAUUCCUUUAUGGGGAGUCAGUGCACGACGAUAUAAGUUUUUAACCCGGGCAUAUCUUGGUAUGACCAUACAAAGACAUCUUUGAAUUCUUGAAGUAAUUCGAUAAGGUCUCGCUUUAUCUCCAUGGUGAUACAAGUUCUGAUCUUCACCUCUUGUCCCUCUCCUAAGCUCACAAUUUCUACUAAUUCUUUGUGAGGUAGGAUUUGUUUCUCGUCUUGUUCUACCAUCCUCAACAAAUCAGGUGAUAGGUUACAGCCUUGGUCAUCUUCAAAAUCCUGAGAAUCCUCUAUGAACAUAUCUCGCUCAAAAGGAGACUCUGAACGACUAGCAGUGUCACUCAUAUCAUUGAUAUCUGGGGACCUGUUAUGAGAAUGAAGGAAGAUACAAAGAACCAAAAGAAUUUAAGAAUACUUAUCUGUAUGGUAUAAUUAUGAAUAAAAAAUAAAAGAAUAUUGAAAAGAAUGUCUGAAUAACAAAAGAAUCCGAAAGUAAUCAUUUGUAUAAUAUGAUUAUGAAUGAAAUGGAAAGAAUGAAAUAAUAUCUGCUCAAAAUGAUAAUAACUGUGCAUUUUAUUGAAAUAACGUUUUUGAACAUAAGCCUAUUUCACAAAAGAUUCUUAUUACUCCUAGGCCUAGAGCAAUAAGUGUGUUUUGGACAUUACUCUGAGUCAGCUCUAAAAACUACAGGAAUCUCUUCCGCAGUCCAGUUAUCCAGAACACUUCCAGGUAUGUAGGGGCGAAUGCCCAAAAAAUUUUCUCCUCCAGCCCCUUCAUCGUAUGUGGCAUUGAUGUUUAAGUUUUCCAACUUUUAUUCUAUGGAUUUCUGUCUUGACGUGCCCCGCUCGGGAUAAAUGAUUCCUUCAGACACAAAAGUUUUCGAUAUAUGGGGGAAUAUCAUUGGCUCCCAUUUGAUUUCCUCCCCCUUCAACCGUGCUCUCCUUUUUUCUUGUUUCUUUUUCAGCUCUUUUUUUCCUUUGUCUCACAUCUGGCUUAAAUCCUAAGCCGAAACGGUCUCUCUUGUCCUUCAAUACUGGCGUUUCAACCAUUCCUUAGAGAUGUCUCUCGAGUUCUCUUCUCGGUAGAGCUCCUUUUCCAACCAUCAACUGUAGACUCAUCCUUGUAGUUUUGGAUAAUUUUGGCGUCAGAAUCUUGCUCCCCUCAGUAAUGAAUAUUGCAUUAACAAAUUCCAAAGACCAAAAUGAGCAUUCGAUUGCUUCGUCAUUUGUCUCCAAAUAGGGUGCAUCACUGCUUACAGCUACAAUGAUAUCCUCUUCAGCAUUUAUCGUUAUCAACCGCCCCUCUAAUACUAACUUCAGCUUCUGAUGCAACGAUGAAGGCACUACCCCAGCUGAAUGUAUCCAGGGCCUCCCCAAUAAGCAAUUGUAUGAAGGCUUAAUAUCCAUCACCAGGAAAUCCACCUCAUAUGUGUUUGGCCUGAUUAGAAGAGGUAUCUCAAUUCUGCCCAUCACCCUUCUCUCUGUGCCAUCGAAUGCCCUCACUAUAUUCUGGCACUCUUUCAUGUGAGAGUUGUCUACAAGUAAUCUGUUUAGUGUGGACAAUGGUCGGACAUUCAAGGCCAAUCCGUUGUCAAUCAGUACUUCUGGUAGCGUAUGCCCCUUACAACGCGUGGUGAUGUGUAAAGCUUUAGUCGACCCCAUGCCACUGGGUGGUAUCUCAUCGUUAUUGAAGAAGAUAAAGUUAUCGACACUUAUGUUGCUAACCAAGCGGUCUAGCUUGUUGACGGAGAUAUCAUUGGCAACAUAUGUUUCAUUCAAAACUUUCAUCAGCGUGUUGCGAUGGACUUCCGAACUUAAGAGUAAGGCCAGCACCGAGAUACGAGUUGGUUGUCUGCGUAGCUGUUCCACAACACUGUACUCACUGUGCUUUAGAAAUUUUAAAACUCUUUAGCCUCAUCUUCGUUAACUGGCUCAUUAACAAGAAGUUCAGAUUUGGCCACUUUUUCCUUCUUCUGUUCGACCACUAUAGCUUUUCCUUUUGAGGGUUCUGCUUUCUCGCUUGCUGAAUCGUAACAUCUCCCACUAUACGUAUAAGAGCCCAUAUAUUGGUCCUCUUUUGAAGCAUCAACCAGGCUCUCUUUUCCUAGGAUCGUCACGUUACAGUCGUAAUUCCAUAGGACCCUCUUACUGUCUUUAUAGGGGAAGACUGCAGGUAUUUAGAUUAUGACCUUCGGUGGCAUUUGCACUCCCGCUUCAUUAUUUUUGGGUCGUGAUAUGAUAACCACGGGGUAGUUAAUUGUUUGGUUCUGCAUCGUCGAUUUUCCCUCUGAUGCGCAUAUAUCUCCCUCUCCGGGGUUUUCAAUUUCUUCAUAAAACUUUAUUUCUCUAUUGUUUAUCAUGUCCUGCACCAGGGCUCUGAACUCCACACACUCUUGAAUUUCAUGCCCUACCUCGUUGUGGAACUCACAGUAGUUCCUCUCUUCUUCAGAUUCUUCUCUUGAAUCCAACACGAUCAACCCUCUCUUGACCAUCUCAUUCCACAUCCGUCUCAAUGGGGUCCUGACUUCUGCAACCUCAUAUUUGAUCUUCUUGCUUUCACCUUCGUUUAUCCCAUUUACUCCUUGGUCGGUAUGAUUGAGGAGUGGGUUUCCUGCUACAUUGGGUACGGCUAGGUCGUCAAACCUUAUAAUACCCAUUUUAAUAAAUCUUUCAACUAGUUUUUGAACGCGGUGUACUUUUCGAUCUAAUGCCCGGUGAUUCCUGCAUGGUAUUCACAUUGGGCAUUUAUGUCAUACCAUUUGGGAAACAGGGGUUGCAGUGACUUCAGGUAGAAAAGGGACACUACAUGAGCAUUGAAUAGGUUCUGGUACAACUCCCUAUAUGUCAUAGGUAUAGGCGUAAACUGUAGUCUUUCUGUGUUCGUCCUCGCGCUGGAUUCUUGCCUCACAGUGCUAUGUUGAUUGGUGGUCACCGUCUUUGGUUGGUUUACAGUGAGUGACUUGGACUGACCCUUGCUAAAUGUGCUCGUGUUGUUCACUUCAUUAUCUCUUUUCCUUGGGGCCGAUCUUUUGGUACUUUCCUCUACUUCUAUUUUGCCACUCCUCACAACAUUUUCAAUCAUUUCACUUGUCAUCACUAUGUCUAAGAAGCUUUUGGUGGCACUUUCCAACAUAUGAGUGAUAAAAGGAGCCUUCAAAGUGUUGAUAAAGAGCAUCAUAGUUUUUUUCUAAAAGCGGCGGCUAAACUUGUAUGGCCCAUCUUUGCGCAUACUGUCUGAAAUUUUCAUUCAGUUUCUUCUCCAUAUUCUGGAGAGUAAUCCUGUCAGGAGUCAUAUUCGUCACAUGACUAUACUGUUUCAUAAAGGCUUGAGCUAGGUCUUUCCAUGAGUUAAUCUUAGCGCGGCUCAAUUGGUUAUACCAUUUGGAUGCCGCCCCAACCAGACUGUCCUAGAAGCAGUGAAUCAAUAGCUGGUCAUUAUUGACGUAUCCAGUCAUUUGCCUGCAAAACAUAGUAAUAUGAGCUCCAAGGCAGCUCAUUCCAUUGUACUUCUCAAAUUCAGGCAUUUUGAACUUGUGGGAAAGGACUAAAUUUGAGACCAAAAUCAAGUCCUUAGCAUUAAUUCCGUGACGACUAUCAGCACCUUCCAUCACCUUGAAUUUUUCCUUCAGCCAUUUACACCGUUCCUCUAAUUGCUUCUGUGAUUCCAUCCUUGCCUUUUCUUCUUCUGCAACUUCAUCCAAAUCAGGAACAAGCGAAUAAUUCGAGUUAUUAACAGGGUUAGAGCCUGAGUCAAUUUGGAAAUUCAUCGGUAUCGAAGCUCCGACCUGAAUCUACUGAGGUCUAAUUGUAACAGAUGGUCUUUGUAGAUUAAUCUCAGGUUGUGUCGGUACAUGUGUCAGAGUAAAGCCAAGAGGAUAUUGAGGGUCUUUAUUAUUUUCCCCAACAUUGUCUAUAGGACCCUUUCCCUUAUUCAUUCUUCCCAUCAGCAAUUGGGACAAUUGACUCAUCAUCUCUCUUUGGGAUUCCAUCAUUUGCUCUUUCAUCUCUUGCUGAAUCUUAGCUAGCUGCUCUUGUAUCUGCGUCUACAUUUGCUCCUGCAUGUCCUUUUGCAUUUGCUCCAAUUUUUCUAGUCUUUUGUCCAUUGACUUGGUCUUUUUCCUUGUGCCGUAGGGGUGCGUACUUGGUUGGUUUUUGUUGGUUUCCAGAUUACUGAAAUAAUUUUUUAAUUAAUUAGAAUCUUUUUAUGGCCUUUAAUGCAUAUGAUGUAAUGUAAUGCAAAUGCAUGAAUGCAAAGGAGGCAUCAAUUUUGAUUCAAUUCCAUUUAGAAAAAUUUACUAGAAAAUAAAAUUCUUUACAUAAAAUUGAGUUACAAAUAAAACUUCGCCCUAAUGCUCAGAGCCUUAAUUUUCCUAAGCAACGAGGCUAGCUCCUACCCCCGAUCUGACUCCAGCUCGUACUUCACGCUCAGUAUGUCCACUCGUACCGCUAAAGCUUACAAAUAUUCAGCUACCUCCCGAAUCUGGGUUAUGGCUUCCCCCAUAAUGUAAUCCUUGUUCCUGACUUGGUCUUGCGCAUGGUGAAGCUGUUCCUUCCAACGUUCCUCACUUGCUUUGAAAAACUGGAUCUGCAUUUCACAGCUUUGUAGUGACGCUUCUAAUUCUUCUACUUUUCCUUUCAUUUCUUCCAUCUUACUCAAGCUUGCCCUUAACUCCAUUAUGGUAUUACAGCUUCGGUACUGAUGAAAAGACUUCUCAAGUUCUGCCACUCUAGCCCUUAAUUCACCUCGUUCAUUUCUGCUUUCUGACAGACUCUUCUCAAAAUCCUCAUUUCCUGCCUGAGCCUCUCAGAAUUUCCUUUCCCAUCGGUCGGGUUUGGUUUUUUCCUCUUGAAUUUCAUGGCGCCAUUGUUCUAAAGUUUUGCCUAACCCAGCAGUCUUCAUAGAUAGGCGUAACUUCUUAUAAUCGUCUUCAAACUGUCUAGAUCAUCUUCGGCCUUACUUUUCCCUGUUGUCCGCUUCUCAGCCUCUGACCUCUGAACGUCUACAUCUAAUAUCAGAUGCAUCUUUUCUUCCUCCAAUUGUUCGAUCUUUUUCCCAAGCUCAGAACUAUUCUUAUCGAAGUCUUGCUUUAUAAUUUCCGACUCUGACGGGGCAACUUGUAAUUGUUCCUCCAUUGGUCGGGUGGUUUCUACACUUAGUCUAGGAAUAUUAUCAUUGACCCUCUUCCUAAACCAUCCAUUUAUUCAGGCGUCACCAUGGAACUGACAACUAGCCUCUUCAUCUAGCGAGUUUGCUUCUGAGCAUCAGAUAAUUCCCGAACUUUCCUCUUAUAGUGGUCACCUUUAUAGGAGAAUUCACAUUGAGCAAGCCCGUAAGUCGUGGGUACAAACUACCUCAAUUUGUAUUGCCUUAAUACAAGAAAUGGAGUAUACCCAAUAGCUCUCCAAAUUCCUAACAACGGUACCCAAUCAAAGUUCCCACAUCGAUACAGGAUUUCAUCAAGAACCAUCCAAUAAGCUCUCCACUCUAUAUCCCUCUCCUUGAGGUUUUAGAGGAUUUCCAUCCACUUCUCCUCUGAGAUAUCCUCUCUCCUUUGUAUGGUUGCCUCCUUCUUUAAUAGGGAAUAGCCUUCAGAAAAGACCCGGUAAGAAACCUUGUCUACUUUCCAAAAAUACCCAUGAAACCACACCAUCAACAGCUGUGCACAUUCAAUAAAUCGCCCCUCGCCCGUCUUCUGACACAUGCUCAAGGAUCUGAACGUCUCAGCCAAUAUUGUAGAUACAUGUGUGAUUCCCUUCUCAAACCGAUCGAAUAAGUCAGUGACUACCUCAUCCACGUGCCUUAAAAGCCUUAGGAAAAAUUACCAAUCCAUAGAUGCUUAAGGCAAAGAUAUCGACCCUCUUUCUUUCAUCUGGAUGUGUUAAAACCAAAUCUCGCAAAUUCUCCCAAGGGAUACAUUUACUAUCUCCCUUUUGUUGAAUCCGAGCAGUGACCCAAGGCUCGCUCAUCCCUGAAAUAUUCAUCAAUUUCGUUGCGAAAGUUUGACCAUUAAAAACCUUGGCAUAAGCUUUGCUAACUUGCACUUUUGGACACCUGAGCAGGGUAGUAUAUUCCUCCACAGUAGGCACUAAAUCCACUUCCCUAAAAGUGAAACACUUGUAAGCAGAAUUCCAAAAUUGAACCAUAACUCUGAACAGAUGCUUGUCCACCUUAAUAUCUAGCAAGUAAGAUAUAUCACCAUAGCUUUGAUAAAACAACUGUUUGGUUCCUUCAUCCCAAAGAGCCUAUAUAUCUCUCAACUCUUGCAACUCAUUCUGUGUUACAUUAAUGCGAGUGAAUUCCUGCAAUUCUAAUGUAUAUCCUUCUGCCAAGCUAUCCCCUUUCUCCGAUUGUAACUUCUUUAACCAUGCGCGGACGGCUGCAUUAUCCUCAACUUUAUUAAGAAAUUCAUUCUCCAUGUCAAACUUUCUAACUUAGUAAUCGAAUACGAAUCAACACCUUCUUUAGUAUGCAAUGUCAUGCAAAACACAAUCAAAACAAAACACAAGUUAGUAUCAAAUAUAAGUAAUAAGAUACAAGCAAAAACCAAAAUAAUCAGAGCACAGAUAUGGGCAACUACUAAGGCUUAACACAGCUCUAUCUAAGGGUAGCUUUUAACGUUCACUAUAUGUGGUUCGGCUCUAGAGAGAAGGUACCUGAACCAGCAGAUUCAUCAAUCCUCACCCAUUAUAGGCUCAUAUGGAUCGAGUUCGAUUCAGGGGAAUACAUUUCCUUAUGACCAUGCAGAGAUGAAAAUCUCACAAAAUCAUAGGUACGGAUGUACUCCAAAAGCAAUCCACUAGCCCAUGCGGAGGUGAAAACCUCACGAAAGCAUAGUUUCUUAUUUCCACUUAGAAGGUGUGACCACAACGGUCAUGUGAUGCAAUGCAAUAUUAUUCUACGAGACCCGAACCAUAACGAUCAUACAAUCAGAUGCAAUCGAAAGAAUCAUGAUUUUCAAAACAAAUUUUUAAUUUUUUGACAGAAGGAUAGAAAAUAAUCAAUUUUAUGGCUUGACUCUCUUGUCCGUUUCCCCAGUAGAGUCGCCAAGCUGUCGAAACCAUCCUUUUUAUUUGAAAGAAAAAACAGAAAUCGACUUUUUGAAAAUAGAUCGCAGAGUCACCACCAAUCUUUUAUUUAGGUGUGAUUGGAUCAUCUAAUAAAACACUUUGUUUUAUUUAAAUUGAUUUUGGCCUACGUAAAUUUGAGAAAACGGGUUCGGGAGCCGGUUACAUAUAAGGAAGGAUUAGCACCCUCACUACGCUCAAAACUGGUACCAAAUUGAUUAAAUGCUGCCCUUAGGUCUAAGAUUUAGAGCUAUUUUUUUGAAAUAUGAUUCUUUUCAAAACAUUUGAAUGGCUUAAGUUGGUCGUCAAAAUUCUCUUGUUUCAAAGUUAUAUAACGUCACAUCCAGCACGAUAGGACACGAUCCUUUAUACCCUCGAAAACACGAUAAAUUUUGACUUCCAAAUGUUUAUAUAUUGAAAAUUACAAAAAGGGUGCCCAAUUAUUUAGUCCAAUGAAAAACCGAAACCCAGCACAGUAGGGCACGAUUCCUCGAAUUUCUAGACAUUGAACAUUGCCUCGUUUUAGAAUUUAGAAAAUAUAAGUACAAUUCUAAAGGAAUAUUCGAUAAUUUUGAACAAACAGGAAAUUGCAACCCAGCACGAUAGGGCACGAUUCCCUGAAUUUCCAAACAUCGAACAUUGCCUUCAUUUUAAGGAAUUUUCAAAGUACGGAUGAAAAUUCAAAGGAAUAUUUGAUUAUUUCGACAAACAGAAAAUCGAAACCCAGCACGGUUGGGCACGAUUCCUCGAGUUCCCAAACAUCAACUAUUACCUUUGUUUUAGUGAAUCUUCAAAUAAACAGUUGUAGAACUAGUUCAAAACGUAUCAAUUUUACUUGAAAUAGGAUGGAAUAAUUAAUUAAUUUUUUUUAAAAAAAGUUGAAAAUUAUAAUGAAACAUUUGUAGACUAAAGGAAAAAAUAAAAAUAUGGGGUAACAUGCACUCAUAAAAUACAAUGCCAAUUAACCAACUAAUAAUUAACAAAUUAACAAAACCAAUAAUUAAGUAUAACUAAUCUAAGACAAAUAUAAUCGAACUUCUAAGCAUGGAUAGAGAACAACAAUACGACAAAUAUACAUGAAAUAAUACAAAAACGACUAACCCAUGAGAUACCAAACAACUCCUAAAGAAUGAUGCAUUGAUGAGCAAAUAACACGUAUUAGGACUUGAAAUAAUCUAUAAGAAAAAUAAAGAACACAUAUAUAAUUUUUUUUAAAAAAAAUUGAUGUUGCAAAACGAAAACAUUUAAAUCACAAAAUUUGUUUAAAAGUGACAAUAUAUACACACGAUGAAGGGGAAUUUAAAUAAUAUAUGAAAUAUGAAAGAAUAAUAAAAUGUAAUCUUAGGAAAUAAAUUAUGCACAAAAUAGAUUUAAAAACAUAUACAUAUAUGGAUUAAGAAAUAAUUAGUUGUGAAAAGAGCAUGUAUUUAAUAAUGUAUUUAAGAUUAAAUUAAUUUUAUUAGAAAUUAUAUAUAGUAGAUUUAAGAUCAUACUUAUAUAUACAAAGAAAACUAUAUGUUUAAAAUAUAUGGAUUUAAUAAUGUAUAUAGAUCAAAUAUAUGUACCAAUAUAUAUAAGUAUAAAAAUAAUUUAAACAAUAUAUAAAACAUGUAUACGAAACAUAUUAAAAUAACAAAAAUAUAUGUUAAAAUAUAUGGAUAGAAUCAAAAACCAUUAUAUGUAUGAAAUAACAUAACAUUAAUAAUAUACGUGCACUAAAAUUAACUUUAUUACAAAUAUUAUAUAUAUACCAAUGUAAAAAAAAAGUAUAUAUAAAAAAUAAUUUACAAAAUGUGAAAAUGAUAUGACAUAAACAAAUUUGCAAUUAUAAAAAAUUUCACCAAGGUAAUUGAAAAUGUAAAAAUAAGCUAACAAGAGUAAAAAAAACUAUAAAAUAGAGAGACUUAAUUAGAAUUAAAUUAAAACAAAAGAGAUAAUUUGAGAAUAAAAUGAUAAUGAUAAAAAGGGGCCAACAUGCAAUGCGCCCGAAUGCACAGGGAGCUAGACUGGAAAUAUACCAGUUCCCAAAGUGCAGCGUUGAAAUGAGGGCCAAAUUGCAAACACGCACAAAUUACAGUACCAAAUUUAAAAACAAAAUAAAACAAACAGAGGGUAAUUGAACACCGGUGCGAAGAGGAAGGAUUAAUAGCGCAAAUAACCCUCAUAGGCCCAGGACGCGCGGAUCUGGACGAUCAAGGUCGGGUCACCGGGUCACAGCUCUUAAACGGUGCCGUUUUGAAGCUAUAGGAAUUGGCCGAAAACGACGUCGUUUCCUACGUUUUAUAAAAACCAAAAUUUAAAGAAACCCUAAGCUGAUACUUUGCCAUUUGAAAAGAGAACAAAACAGACUUAAGACCUUUCCUCUCCUUUCCCAUUCGGCCGAAUUAGAAGAAACCUUUAGGCUACCGUUUGGCCUCCAUGUCUAGCCGACGGUUAUCAUGCGAAAGCCUAAUCUGGCUACGUCCAACCGCAAAUCCAAGGUUUCAUUCCAAAGUUUCAAAGUCCUCGUCUAAACUUCGAUUACAACGAAGUAGGUAGGAUUCGAAGGAGCCGAUAUGAAGGUAAAUCUCUUUUCCUUACUCUUUUUUUUUUUAACGAAUAUCGAUCAUGAAGAAAGCAAAAAAGAAAAAUGAAUGAGACGUUAGACUUAAAUCAAUCACCUUUUCGAUUUGUGAUUUCUGCUUUUUCUAUUAAUCUCUUUGUUGUAUGUGUGUAACCUUAUAGAUAAUUCCUUUUUGGGCGUUAUAGUCGAAGAAAAAAAUGAUAAAAAAAUAAAAAUACAAUAUUUUCUUUUUGUUUUGCUGUGCGUUCGUCCCUUUUUACAGGUACGGGGUGUGCGUGGCACGUGUACGGGGGCUUUGUGCUGGCGUACGGAGGCGUGGGCGUGGCUGCUGAAGUGCUGGAGAGUACAGAGGCAUGGUGGUCUGGCUGCGGCGUGAGGGGGAGAAACCCUAGGUUUCUGGUGUUUUAAUUUUUUGGGCCUAUCGGGCUUGUAUUUUUGGGUCUAGGUUUUAGAUUUUAAAUUUGGGUUAGGGUUGGUUGUUGGGCUUGUUUGGGCCUUGGGUUAUGUAAUUGGACAUUUAAUGGACUAUUUAAAAAUUGGAUUUUUUU